UGGGACAGCUGGGAUUUGAACAUAGGUAUUCAGACUCCAGAGUCUAGACUUUCAACUGCCAGACUCUCCUACCUCUCUACACAGAACACUAACAAGUCCACAACGUAAAAACAAGCUGUGAAUAGUAGGUCUCCCUCCCUCCCAAGACUAUCAAUCUUCAUUCCCAGAGGAAACCACUGGCAACAGUUUCCUUCCAGAAAAAUGCAAGUAUGCACAUGCAAGCAUAUAUCUAGAUUCAUAAGUUAUAAAUCUAUAUCUUUUUUAUAACCAAAAUGGAAGCAUUUAAUACCAAUGCUGUACCUUCUUAUUUCACUUAACAUUAUAUCCUUGAAGAUUUUUCCAUAUCAAAACAUAUAGAUCUACUUUAUCUUAAGGGCUGCAAAGUAAUUCAUUGUAAAGAGGUAAUAUAAUUUAAUUCACUAGCCUCCAACAUUUAUGUGGUUUCUAGACAUUUUCUUAUAUAAAUAAUGCUACCAUAAGUAUUUUUAUAUUUAUGGCUUUCUUCAUCUACACAAGCUAAUCUCAGAAUAAGUUUGGAGAAGAAUUGUUGGCUGCAUUUAAAAAUUUGAUACAUAUUGCCAAAUUGCUUUGCAAAGUGGUUACAUGAAUUUAUAUAUAGCUGAUAUAUAAAUAAUGGUUGAUUCUGAAAAUUUAUAUUUACGAAGUGACACAUAUCUGUAUAAAAUUCCAAGGCAUGGGUAGAAAGGAAGUUUUGCUUUCUAAUGAUUAAAGCUAGUCAAACUGUCAAGUUUAGCUCCUUCCUUAUGUCCUUUAACAAUAUCCUCAGCAAAAAAGGGCUAGUCAAGAAUUUUUAUCUGCAGUUUCUGUAAAAGGAUUGUGUACCACAUGAAAAAAUUCCCUCCAGAAUUUAGAACUAGGAACAGUCUGGCAGUUUUUCUUUACUGAAUAGCAAUUAUAUACCUUUCUCUCUUUUUGCUUUGGCUUCCAGGCUGCUCAUAAUUACAUUUGGUGCUCAAUCACAGCACCAAUAUUAGCCAAUGAAGAAGCAUCACUAUUUUUAUAUUUAUUCCUAUUUCUAUUUUAAAGACCUAAUAGCAUAUAUGCACCUUACACUGAACCCCUCAAAUUUAUUUUGGAAGUAGGUGGUAUAUAUGAAUAGAUAAAAUUUAAAUGACCUUAAGAUUAAUAAAAGAGAUUAUACAAAAUGGCUAAGGAGGGAACAAUGGUCACAACUUUCAUUCCCUUCCUGUUUGAAAUAUGUAAGAGACUUAAUUAUUUUUAUUGCUCUUCAGAAUCAUUCUUAGAAGAUAAUAAAUUGGGGAAAUUUCCCUCAUCUGGGAACUGGAUGGCAGGAACUAGAAUUUCAAGGUAGAAAGGGGAUUCAGCGAUCAUCUAAGCAAACCCAUCACUUUACAAAUGAGGAAACUGAGGCCCAGAGAGGUGAGGUGACUUACCCGAGGCCACAGCUCUAGGAAAUGACAGAGGCGGGACUAGAACGUGGGUAGCUUGAGGUCCGGACCAACGUGCUGUCCCACUGCAUGACACGCAACACAGACGACUUGGGGUGGCAGAAGAGAGGAAGAGAAGGUGACCCCACAGCCCCUAGCAACAAAAACAACAAGAAGGACUUGAGGCACUCAUAAAUAAUUAAGCAAUUAGCUGCAGCAGCUACUCCCCUCCCCUCCAGCAUCCAGUCACCAAGGCAACUUGGGCAGGGUGCCUGCUGGUUGCCUAGUAACAGUGUGGUCUGCUCCCCUGACAAGCUCCCUAGGCAUCAAAGGAUUUGAGAGCCGGGAAGAACCUUAGACAGGGAUCACUUUUCCAACACCUUCAUUUUCCAAAUGAGAAAAGAAAGGCCCAGAGAAGCUGGGUAACCUGCCCAAGGUCACACAGCUAUUCAGACACACAGCCAGGCUCCAUUCCCAGUUGCUUUCCAUUGCACUAGGGCUGCCUCAGGGAGGCUGCAGAUGGAGGAGAGGGGGAAAUCGCUCUACAGUUCCUAGAAGAAUGAGAAAGUCAGAGCGAGCAAGCAGGCAAGAAAGAGACAGAAACCUGAGCACUCAUAUGCAAUUAGCAGGAGCUGGUAAUCCCAUCAGCCCAACUUUCAUCAUCACCAUGGCAACAUGGGUGAGGUGGGUGCUGGUUGCCUAGCAACAAGUGGUCCUCUCUCUUCUACUCACAUCUGCUCCCUGGGAGUCACAGGAACAGCAGAAUGAUGACGUUGGAAGGGAAGGCAGGGGUCCUAACUCAGUCUCCUCCUUUACCCAAUGAGGAACCUGAGGUUCAGGGACACUGGAAGUCACACAGCCACAGAGUUAGCUAGUGACAUUCCCUCCAUUGAUGGCCUCUGUCUCAACACUUUGGGAAGGGAGCCUUCCACUCAAUAAAGGCAGAACAUGGGAGGGAAUUGGCCAGUGGCUCCCUUGAAAGGAGGGAACACAUGGUCUCUAAUGUCAGAAAACCUGGGUCAAAGCUAGUUCUCCCUAAACCUGGCAAGCUUCCUACCCUCUCUGUGCCUCAGUCUCCACAUAUGAGGACUGGACAUGCUAAUGGUCUCUAUCUCUCGAGUUAUCGUUAGGAUUAAAUGAGAAAAUGUAUAUGUCAAGUCCCUGGUAUAUAGUAAAGAUACAGUAAAUGUCAGGCGUUCAUUCAUUCCACACUCAAUAAAUAUUUG
rnacentral:lncRNA from 1 species